GAACGUAUGGCUUAGUUGGUUAGACCGCUAGGUUUCCAAGAGACGCGAGUUCCAAUCCCGCUACGUUCA
rnacentral:tRNA from 1 species